rnacentral:lncRNA from 1 species
AUCUUUAUAACGAAGCAUUUUAUUCAGAGUGAUAGAAUAAAUUCCCAGUUAAUACAACCAUUCAGUAAUACAUAGAUUUUUUUUCUUUUUAGAUUUAUAUAUUUAUUUUUAUGGUAUGAGCCUUCAUGUGGUUGUUGAGAAUUGUAUUUAGGAUCUCUGCUCGCUCCGGUCAACUCUGCUCGUUGAGUCCCUGCUCACUCUGAGUCAAAGAUGUACUUAUUAUUAUAUAUAAGUACACUGUAGCCAUCUUCAUACACACCAAAAGAGAAUGACAGAUUUCAUUACAGAUGGUUGUGAGCCACCAUGUGGUUGCUGGGAUUUGAACUCAGGACCUUUGGAAGAGCAGCCAGUGCUCUUGCCUGCUGAGCCAUCUUGCCAGCCCAAUACAUAGUAGGUCUUUAGUUAGGGUAGUAGAUGUAACCACAGUCAUACACUUCUCAAUUUUUUGUUGUUUUUCACUUGUUCAGAGGGUCUUCUGUGGUUUUAAGUUAGAAUUUUAUCUUAACUUUUCUAGUCACUACUUUUCUAUAAUGAACUGGUCAAAAUAUCUUUGAAAAAAAUAGGUAGCCAUAUCCUUCUACUCGCCUAGUAGAUUUAAAGGUCACAUUUGUGUUCUUUAGAUUUUCAUCACUGUGACAGAAUACCUGACACAAACAGAAUGGUUUAUGUUUCAGAGUUUUAAUCUAAGUUUAUAUUUUAGAGAUUUAAUUCCAAGGUCACCGAGCUCCAUUGAUUCUGGGCCAGGGCACAGUGAGGCAGGGCAUCACAGUGAAAGCAUGUCAUGAAGAAAAAUUACUUUGUGACCAACAGGAAGCUGAGACAGGCAGGACACAAAAUUUACCCAUUUUAAAGGCACCCUCCAGUGACUGUUUUGUAGUUCCCACUAAUGCCAUCAAUUUACACAUCCACCGCCAGAUUAAACCAUUAAAAAGGGAAUCCUCGUGGUCUCAGACUGAAUGAGUGGGAAAGCAGGCGAGCUGAGUAUUUUCCUAAGUGGGUCUUCUCCCACUCCCUCAGACAGUUGUGGUCCCACCUUCUAUGCUUCUUCCUCUGUAAUAAAUGCAGCAAACCACGAGGAAAAGAAGUCUUUUCCAGUUGCUUUGGUCAUGUAUUUUGCCACAGCGAUAAAAAUAGGUUUUUGUUUUGUUUUUUUUUUUUAAGUUGAAAGGUUUCAGGAGAAAUCUGCUGUGUUUCUGUCCUGAGGGGCUUGCUCUCCGGCCGGGUAGGUCUUCCUCAGGAUGUGCCCCAUGAGGCCGUCACAUCCUGUUCACGGUCAGUCUCACUCGCUACCUUACUGCUGUUGCCUCCUUCUGAUAGAUAGGUUUUCAUUUUCUCUCCAUGAACGCUUAAAAAUUCCAUCCCAGUUUCUCCUUAAUUGUGGUUCUAAGAAUAGAAUAUUGUAUAUAUUCCUUAGUUUUAUAUUUUCUCUCUAGGCAUGCUGUUGACAAUAGCAGGUUCUUUUUAUUGACUUGUAUUUACUGAAUUUUACGGAUCCUGUACUUGAGUGCCAGUAAGAAUGAUUUCAGGUGGGUAUUGUGUGUGGUACAGGCUGCUUAUCCAGGCAGUCGGGAGGCAAAAGCAGGAGGAAUAUCCUGGAACUACAUGUUGAGAUCCUGUCUCAAAAAACAGGCAAUAAGAUAUUUUUAUAGCUGCUGUUGUUAGCACAGUUUCAUGUAACCUAGGCUGGCCUCAAGCUCUAUAUGUACCUGAGCUCCUGGUCCUACGGCCUCCAUCUUCCAAGUAGUGGUGUCAGAGGUGUGUACUACCAUAUCAGGUACCGUGCUUGGAGUCAGGUCAGCACUUCACCAACCAAGCUAUAUCCUUUACCUGAAAUUAUUAUUUUAAAGCUUACCUUCCAGAUUCCUAAGCACGCAGCUAUGUUCAGUAAGGACCUUCUUUCUACAUACCGAGGAAAGAAGUACAGUUGCGGGAUUUUUCAUCCUGAAAGGUGGUCCAUCAGGUUAACAAAGUAUUUUCAAAAGCACACUGUUGUGCUUCGGGUGAACUGACACUUUUUCUUGGCUGUGGAUGGAUUGUUACACCUGGCUGCAUUUGCAUUUUGUGUAUGCACUUGGAUCCUGUGGGAUAAAGAGCUUAAUAGUAACAUUGCUGUUGUACCUCUUAGAGAUUAAUAAUACUGCCUUUGUGAAAGCGAUGACUGAUGAUGCAUCUUGCCUUUCUACAUAUUUGAAGUGUCUGCAUCCCAGAUGGCUUUCUUGCUUUGC